CGCAAAUUACCCAAUCCUGACUCAGGGAGGUAGUGACAAGAAAUAACAACACUGGAAAUUUUAUUUCUAGUGAUUGGAAUGAUGGGAAUUUAAACCCCUUUCAGAGUAACAAUUGGAGGGCAAGUCUGGUGCCAGCAGCCGCGGUAAUUCCAGCUCCAAUAGCGUAUAUUAAAGUUGUUGCAGUUAAAAAGCUCGUAGUUGGAUGUCUGCUGGAAGCAAUCAGUCCGCCCUAUUUGUAGGGUGUGCACUUGAUGAAUUCUGGCAUCUAUAUCCCAAUAAUAUGAUGGUGUAUACCCUGUGUACACCCAUCUAUAUUGGGAUAAUACCGUUACUUUGAGAAAAUUAGAGUGUUUGAAGCAGGCUAAUUGCCUUGAAUACUGCAGCAUGGAAUAACAAUAUAGGAUUUCGGUUCUAUUUUGUUGGUUUCUAGGACUGAAAUAAUGAUUAAUAGGGACAGUUGGGGGCAUUCGUAUUUAACUGUCAGAGGUGAAAUUCUUAGAUUUGUUAAAGACGAACUACUGCGAAAGCAUUUGCCAAAGAUGUUUUCAUUAAUCACGAACGAAAGUUAGGGGCUCGAAGACGAUCAGAUACCGUCGUAGUCUUAACCAUAAACUAUGCCGACUAGAGAUAGGAAAAUGUCAUUUUUCUGAGUUCUCCUGCACCUUAUGAGAAAU
rnacentral:rRNA from 1 species